rnacentral:rRNA from 1 species
UACGGAGGGUGCGAGCGUUGUCCGGAAUCACUGGGCGUAAAGGGCGCGUAGGCGGCCCGCGCAAGCGUGCGGUGAAAGCCCGGGGCUCAACCCCGGGUCGGCCGUGCGGACUGCGGGGCUCGAGCACUGUAGGGGCAGAUGGAAUUCCGGGUGUAGCGGUGGAAUGCGUAGAGAUCCGGAGGAACACCGGUGGCGAAGGCGGGUCUCUGGGCAGUAACUGACGCUGAGAAGCGAAAGCGUGGGGAGCGAACAGG